CAGUGAAAUAUGGAGAGCAUUAUUUGAGGCGGAGGACCACAGGAGAAAUGCAUUUCAAGGACUAGAAAGAACCAGCAUCAAAAUCACUGGCUGACAUUGUCUCAUUUGCAUUUGGUUAGAACGCAUCCAUUGUUUGGCCUAACAGAGUGUUCUAGAAUUCAAGGACUCUAGACACUGUCCAGUCUAAGAAUUUGAGAGUUGGAAAGGGAUGUAAGAAAAUUCAAACUUGGGAACUGGAACAAAGGUUUAAAUUGUAUUCUAAGUUAGCUCUAGGAAAGCAAGAGCUGAUCCUUAACUAAAAUGUAGAUUAGAGCUGGAUUUCUGUGGGUCAGGAUAAAGGUCUCCUGGAGAGUACGUUCUACCUGUACAAAACCUGGUGUCUUUCGAGGUUUUCUUCUGUUUCCAUCUCAGUUUCCCAGUUACCUCUCCUUGCUGAGCUGCCUGGGCCAGAAGCAGGGUCUUCUCUGAAUGCUGAAACAAGAUGCUGCUUCUGGAAGUGAUGAUUCAAAAAUGGAGGGGAGAUAGGCAGAGAUCGGCAGCUCAGAAGUGAUGCUGUAUGAACAUUCAGGAAGACACAGUCCCGACCCCAAACAGCUUGCAAUCAAAGAAAUCACAACCACUAUCAAUCCUUUUCCAUGCUCUUCCUUCCUCUUGCAAAGCUGCAAAAUGUGCCACCACCAAACCGCUUCAAAAAAUCACCUAUUCAGGCAGUGAGUGGGGAAGUUGCAGACAGAACAUUUUCCCUCAAGAGGCAGCAAAAAAAGGGAAUCCCUCUUGUCCGUGCAGAUUUAAAUGAGGAUCUAUUUCAGUUUUGCUUGGCCGCAUCAGUGUGAAUGCCCUUCGAGCACGAGUAUGCAAGGAGAAAUUACUUUCAGAUCUCUUCUUUUUGGAAAGAGGCCAACAGCUAUUUGUUGAGCAGUGAUGGCAUGCUCGGUGCCAGCAAAGCACAAGCCAACGGCUAACCCACUCAUCUCGGGAACUAGAUGGUCAAUCAAAA